rnacentral:rRNA from 1 species
UACGUAGGGCGCAAGCGUUGUCCGGAAUUAUUGGGCGUAAAGAGCUCGUAGGCGGUCUGUCGCGUCGAAUGUGAAAACCCGGAGCUCAACUCCGGGCCUGCAGUCGAUACGGGCAAACUGGAGUGUUGCAGGGGAGACUGGAAUUCCUGGUGUAGCGGUGAAAUGCGCAGAUAUCAGGAGGAACACCGGUGGCGAAGGCGGGACUCUGGGCCGAUACUGACGCUGAGGAGCGAAAGCGUGGGGAGCGAACAGG